GAGGUGGCUUCCGGCCGCCAGGCGAGACUCCGCGGGAAAACUCCCUGCUAGAGAGACUAGGAGAUUUGGGGCUGCGGCCGUUUCCUCCGGAGCACCCACGGGACUGUGUGCUGGGGUCCCUCCACCGGCUGUGUCCUUUAUUCUUCUUUCUCACCCAACGAUUUACCUGAACGGUUAUAAAGUGCACGUUAUUUCCCUAAGCACUUUGAGUAUAUUGGCCCACUGCAUUCUGGACUUCAAAAUUUCUGAUGCGAAAUAUGCUGAUACUUUUGUUGAAGAAAUCUGGUCCUUCUUACUGAUGUGUUGCUCUUCUUCAUGGCUCGUGAAAACUAUUAGAGUCAUCCAAGGGUGGGAAGAGAGAUCAGCAACGUUAACUGGGUGUCAAGAAAACAUACCGAGAUUGAAGCCAUCCACUUCUGCAGGAACACCGAAAAGAAAGCUUACAAUCUGAAGGUGUCCGUUCCUACACUGGUCAGACCACUGUCCUUGGGGCAGCUGGGGUCUUUGGGACCCUCCACCGGGCUCGCCGGUCCGUCGGACUUUUGGCUGAGAUCCGUGUCAGACUCCUCCGAAUAGUCGUCUGUUGGCAUCGAGGGCUGAACCCCUGAGGUGCUGCAUGAACUUGAGGUAACCGUUGAAGAUGAGGAGAGAGGAGGAAAAGAAGGGGGCUUCGCUGCCGAAGCCCGGGAGACCACUUGCGGCCAAGACUUCCUGGAGGCGUGGGGGGAAGCGGAGGAGGGGGCGGCGGCCGACGGGGGAGGGGGGCUGUCGUUUGAGUGAGCGGCAGACUGCGAGGUAGAUGCGGUGCUAGGAUCGGGGAAGCAGGCAGAGUGAGGUAAUAAACUAGGGUGCUCUUUGGCGUUU
rnacentral:lncRNA from 1 species